GUGUCAUGUUUGGUAUGUUGCAAUUUAGUCAAAGAGAAAGAAAUGAGGUGAUAAUAGAGUUAGUCAUUCUAUUCCUAUGUUAAUGUAGUGGGAUUGCUUAUAUUUAAUGUGACCAACAAAAAGGCAAAAUGGAAGUCGAAUAUUACUAAUACCUAUCAAAACUUGAUAAUUUUGCACUCUAUUUGUAUCUAUUAAUGAAAAGAUGCUGCUUAUCCUUGCAGAAUAAAAUAAGAAUACCACAAACAAGGUGAAUUGUCAUUCUAGAUAGC
rnacentral:misc_RNA from 1 species